CAGAGUGGGGUGGCAUGGGUGAGCGCAGAGGAAAAAGACAGGUGAGAGUUAGUUUAAAAAAAACCCCGAACACCCAAAACCCUACACCGUUACCGCAGUGAUGGGUAGCACAAACACUGUCACACAGACACAGACACUGAAGGAGAACAGGGUGGGUUACGUGGUCUGAGAGUUACUUUGGUAAACAUGGAAACUGCUCAUAAACAGCUGGAAUAGAGUGAAUCUAAAGGAGGGAAAGGCCACUGCCCGACACUCAGAGAAGCCAGUGGGUGGCAGCGUCUGAGACCUCCUCACUUCCCCAUCCCAAAGAAGUGGCUGACACACAGCUCUCCUGGGAAGACCAAUCCACCCAAUUGAGACUACUCUGGGAUGAAAAAAUGGGAAAAGAAAAUGAAAAAGCCUAAUUUUUAGUGUACCAUUCCUCAGAACUGGUGGACCAGACCCUAAAUCUGAAGAUUCUGACGGAUUCUAAAGAAUGGAAGGUGGGUCUUGGUCUCCCACAACAAGAAGGCAGAACUACAAUGGAGGAGCUCAGCUGCUGAGAACACAACCCAAGAAUCACAUGCACAGCCGCAUAAUCCUUCUGCCCACGAGCUUUUCACUGCACACAUCUGGAAGAUGUUAAUCUGGACACACAAAAUGCCUUCUCCUGACUCUGGUCGCCUGGGUGUGUGGGGCUGGGGAAGGGGUCAGGGAGGUUCACAGUAACUGGGUGCACAAGUGCCAAUGGCCGAGUGGUCAGAGCACGGUCACCGUCACUGUGGCCACUCCCUGUGCAGGGAAAGCAGAGGAAGGCCAGCCGAUACUUCCUUGGAAGUUGAUGGCAAGAACUCUGACUCAGAGAGGACACAGGGACUCCUGGCUCUGGGGGUUAAGCUCUCUUCCUAACCUUGGGGACACAGCACAUACAAAGACCUUAGAGCCAGUGGCUCUUAAGACAACAGAAUAUCCACGUUCUGCACAAAAGUGUGGAUGCUUUGCUUAAAGCAAGGAUAAAGAAUCAUCACUUUUCUCCUCAGAAAAUCCUCAGAAUCAAGACAUAGGACCACAAUAAGUGGCCAUCGGCGCUGCCUGUGGAGCUCCUCCUAGCCUCAAUGGGAGCUGCAAACGUACCACCUCUGUUAAAAAAAUCUAAAGGCAAUACGAUAAAAUGUUUACAUUUGUUCAUUUUGACUACUAGGUAUGUGAUGCUUUUAUCUGUAUUUUUCUACAUUUCUAAAAUAAAAUGUGAACGAAAGACACAAACCAAAGGAGAGUGAAAAGAGAACAGAAGGUAUUCUGGUUAUCACUUACAGAAAGCACACACCAGCACCCGAGCGCUUUAAAACAUUUUAAAAAAUUACUGCUUGAUGAGUACAAGAUGCUCUGCUGGAGAGACAAAGAGUGGGUGGGAUCUGGCCAUGGUGCUUCCAAGUGAAGCAUAGGUGGCAAGAAGCAGGGACGAGAUGUUAGGCCUGGGUGUGCCUCGGUCUCCCAGUUCCUGGGCAGCCAGGAGGGAGGACACCUCCUACAGGAGACAGACCCACCAUGACCUGAGCUCGGCCCACCCUCCUGAGUCACUUAGGGAAAGGAACCUGAUCCCAACUCUUCACUCAGUUGUCUGGUGGCACCACACGCCACACACAGCAGCCAAUAAAUGUUAAAUGAACUGCUCUCUAUCGCUCUGAAAUUAUGAAAGUUGAUUAAAAAUCAACUCUAUUUUUAGCUCAUUCUUCCCAGCCAUCAAGGCAGCAAAACUUGACCGGGCAGACCCAGAGCGCUCUGGCGGUCAGGAGGAGGGGCGGUGAGACUUCAUCCCUUACUGUGCUGGGAAUGAACAAAUUCAUUUAAAUAGCUAAAAUUCUGUCAUAAUUUUGGACUUUUGAAUUGGCUUUUUAACUACUUAACUCAAGUUCAUUUCAUAAGACUGACAAUUUGCAAACACCAAACACCAAUGAUAAACAGGAGAAGUUUCACGCUUUCCUCCCUUCUAUUUUUAGAAUUUAUGUUUUGAGUUCUCCUUUAAUUAUGUUUGAAGUAAACUUCAAUCAUUUUUGUCACUGUGGGCAGUUAUACUAUAGAAUUUAUACAGAAACCACAGAUGAUGACAUUUUAAAAUUGGAAUCUAAUUCAAACGCUGCACUUGAAAGACAACAGGAAAACUGAGGACAAGAGUUAAUGGGAACUUUCUCCAAGUCACCAAAUCAGUCAAGGGCAGCUCAGCUUGGGCCAGAAAGAAGAGACUGCCCAGUGCCCUCUCCCUACCCCAACAGAGUAAGACCUGGAUGCCAGCACAGAACACUGGCCCCAAGGCAAAACAGCGCCCAGACUCAGCUAUGUCUGCUGUCAAGUUGGUUCUAGUUAAGAUGGCAAUGACCCCAUGGGUCUCUCUAUCUGGACCUUUCUGUCAGUAGCCACACCUUGAACCUUCUUUCGGGCCAACCAGGAAAGGCCUUGCUAGGAAACCUGAUCCAGUCCUGAGACCAGAGUCCGGCCUUCCCAGGGACAUGUGGUGGAACGUGUGCCCAGGCAUCUCAUGCUGGAGCUCCCAACCCUCCUCCAUGGGAGGUGGGGUUGAUAGUACAACCUGGCACAAACUAAGAUGCGCUUCUGGGGUCCACCUGGAACCUGGCCCCAGACAUAACACGUCCUGGGAAAUGGUAUCCAGUUCCUAGCAAUCACCCACACACUUAUGGAACAUAACCCACAUCUAAUUGAGAAACUGUCCCAACGUUAAAGUUUUAAUUAAGAUAAUCACUAACGCCCCCAUCUCAACAAUACUCCUGCUACAUUCACAGUAUGUUCCAUGUGUACACAAUGUCUGACAGUAAUCCUGAUGUCCCAGGAGUAUACAGGAGCUCUGUGUGUCUGCCGAGUCUGCUGUGACAGGUAAGAGUCUACCUGUUAAUUAUCCCUCCAUCUGUUACUCCAGGGGCCAGGAGAACUGCGAUGUUAGGAUAGAGGCUCUAGGCAACAUUUCCUGGCCUUCUCAAAGUUGGUCAGAAAGAUCAAGAACUCAGCAGAAACUAUUUCACAUAUUCCACUUUAUUUAACCAAUUCUGGGUGGACAUAGCCCUGUUCACACUGCAGACCAGCAUCGGCCACCCUUGGGAACAGCUUCCUGCCCUCACUCAUGGCUGGCACCUACCCAGCACUGCCCUUCCACCCCUUGUGCUUCUCUAACAACAGCAGAAUGUGCUCUCAAAGGUAUGGGUAUGAGCAUCCCCUGAGCGUCUGUUUCCCCACAAGAGAAUGGAGAAGCUGUGCCUGCAUCUGCAGGGAAAGGGGAAGGGCAGCUCAGAGGAGGCAUUAGAGGGACCCAAGCUUGGGGAAGGCUGCUGUGUCACUCAGAAUACCACUACAGUUAGUCACUUAGCCCAGACCUACACGCGGCCACACAGUCCAUCCUGCUUUGGCAGGUUCCUGCACCAGAGCUACAAUGCUUCCUCAUCACUUGGGUUGCUGACCAGUCUUCACCACCACCUAACUCCUGUGUGACCCUGGACUAUUUGCUCAAUCUCUCAGUUUUGAAUUUAUCUCACUACCAUAGAGUCCCACAGCUACUUAUCUCAAAAGAUUGAUAAUCAUCACACUAGCUCGCACCUUCAUGGAGCUGAGUAAGCUCCAGGCACUAUUCUAAGAAGUUCAUAUAACUUUGAAAACAACCUUACAGAUGAGGUGAUGGAAGCACACAGCUAGUUCUGGCAGAGCUGGGACUCCCACCUAGGGAGCCGGCUCCAGAGACCAGGCCCUGAGGUUAGGAUGAGAAGAUGGGUAUAAGAGUGCUCUAGGAACUGUCCAUUGUCCAGGAACAAAGUGGUGAUGUCAGACUAGCUGUGUUUUGAAGACCUGCACACAUCAAAUUCAUGACCAAUUUCCUACAGAUUCAAAUAUACAUGGUUUACACUAUUUCCAUUCUCUCUUUCUAAAGAAAGAACUUAUCACAACUUUUAUGCCACACUAUCUCAAAUCCUCCAGAUGAAAAUGCACUUUUUGCCACAAAAGGGGGGCUGCUCCCUGACUUUCUCCUAGUGGUUCUGAAGGGCUCCCAGUCAGAGGAGGCAGCGUCUCUUUCUCAGAUGAGUGUAGGAAGCUCUGAGCUCCUCUGUGUGUGUCUCCUGGUUUAUCAUGUCCUCUUGCUUGCUCACCCUCACCAUGUUGAUGCUAAACCUCACAGACGCACAAACACUUGGGGACACUACUCCAGAGUGGAAUGUAAGACAAGGCUGACAGGGCCUAGAAACAACUAGAAACAACAAUGGAGGCCCUGCCUCUGCCUCUGACAAGAGCUGUGAAUGAGGAGCUGGGCAGUGUCAACAGGCCUGGGAUUUCUCACCCUUCACAGACUAGCUGGGUUGGGACUGCCUGGCGGACUUCCAAGAAACCUUGGCUGCGGCUCUGUCCUGACCUGACCAGCCUCAAGCAGGACAGAAGAGAGCCUUAGCCCUCCCAGGUAUGAGAGCUGAGAACCACCAAAAAAGGUCUGUUUUGAUAUCAAGAAACUGGCCACCAUGGAUGCCACUGGGAGAAGAACUGGGGAGAAGCAGUUUCGGGAAAGACAGGGGGAUCCUCACCUCCUCUGCGCCUUUCUUCUAGCGCACUAUGGAACACAAACCUCUGAGGCCCGUGCCUGGGAUGGCUUGGCGGUCAGCGCCCUUCUCUGGAUAGAUGGCCCCAGGCACGCAGGUCUCCCAGGUGGGCCAUCUUGCCCUAAAGCUCCUGGAGGGGACUCCCUGCAGGGGUGCGGGCCCUGAGCCCCUCUCCUAAGGAGGACUCAGGGUGCUGAGGGGGCUUCAGGACAGGUGAGCACAGGCUGUGUCGUUGGGCCUGGGUGCUACAGGGGCUAAGUGGGGAGGAACAGGAAAGAGGCUCCAAGUGCCCUGGAGACACUGCAAAGAGAAGCCUACUUCUUCAGAGCACAGAGUUGUCACCACCGAAUAAAGUAGCAGGAUUUAACUGAGGCCUUGUCUACAAUCUGAAUUGGCUCUAUUCAAUCAUAUCCAGGAGGGUUUCUCGAAUCUUUCUUCCUAAAACUGCUAAAGGGCAGGUACAAAGUGGAGGAAACUCUGUAUUAUCUACAAGCAUUUCUGAAGUGAAGACAGAGCAAUGACAAACUGCUAACAAUGGUCCCAGAACCAACAGUGUUUGAAAACUAGCCUUACCUGACUAGUGUCUGACCCUCCAUGUCAUACUCUGGUAAUGCCCUUAAGGGCAUGUGGGUAUUACAGAGCGUUAGAGACCGUUAUUUAGAGGAGGCGAAUUUUGUCUCCUCUCAAAGAGCAGAAUUAGGCAGGUAGGUGAUCAUCAGUUUUGUUAGCAUGCAUAGGGUUUCUUGUGAACAAUGUGGCCAUUUCAAAAUUAGUCACAUCAUCAUCUCUUUAGCAAGGUUAGCAGCACGGUCACUUAGAGCAGAUUAACUAGAGAGCGCAGCUGUAGGUGCGAGCCCAGCCACGCCCUGCGCCUCAUGACAGCAGCGGAGGGGUGCAGGCAAGUGUGACAACAACUGCCUGGGCGCUGCACAUGCGCCUCCCUGCACGCCAGGGACGCCUUCCAAAGUUUCCUCAGUGUGAUCACGGGCAUUUCACAAUCCAGACACCCAACUGCACAACUUGCUCUGGAAUUCACCCUGUCAAUGGCAGGGCACACCGUGCUUCAGAGAGGACAGCGUGUGACAACAGUUUUGAGCAAGGCCUCAUCUGGGCAGAGGCAGCACUGCACUGAGAUUUGGAAAUGAAGCCAGAAGAGCUAGUUUCUGGAAUAUCUUCUGACCCGCCUGCCCAGAUUAAUUCUCACCCACGUUUGAAGAAACAGUUACUGGAGCAUCAUCAAAAUUUACACAACUAAUUCCGAGAGGAUCAAGUUUUGCAAUGUGGUGACCCCUGACCUGGAAGCAAUAAUACAAGC